UGGCGGCGUGCUUAACACAUGCAAGUCGAACGAAGCAUUUCUAACUCUCGGAGGAGGAAAUGACUGAGUGGCGGACGGGUGAGUAACGCGUGGGUAACCUGCCUUAUACAGGGGGAUAACAGUUAGAAAUGACUGCUAAUACCGCAUAACCCGCUAGUACCGCAUGGUACAGACGGAAAAGAUUUAUCGGUAUAAGAUGGACCCGCGUCUGAUUUAGCUAGUUGGUGAGGUAAUGGCUCACCCAAGGCGACGAUCAGUAGCCGGCUUGAGAGAGUGAACGGCCACAUUGGGACUGAGACACGGCCCAAACUCCUACGGGAGGCAGCAGUGGGGAAUAUUGCACAAUGGGGGGAAAAACCCCCUGAUGCAGCAACGCCGCGUGAAGGAAGAAGUAUUUCGGUAUGUAAACUUCUAUCAGCAGGAAAGAAAAUGACGGUACCUGACUAAGAAGCCCCGGCUAACUACGUGCCAGCCGCCGC
rnacentral:rRNA from 1 species